rnacentral:lncRNA from 1 species
GGGGCUGCAUCAGCCCUAGGGUCAUCUGAGAAGGAUGUACUUCUAAGCUCUCUUGUGCAAUUGCUGAUGGGAGGCAGUUUCUGUGGCUGUUGGGUUGAAGGCCUCAAUUCCUUCCUGGCUGUGGGCCAGAGGCUCUCUCAGUUCCUUGCCAUGUGGGCCCCUCCUUAGGGCAGCUGACAACAUGAUAGCUGGGUUCCUCAGAGUGAGAAAGAAAGAAAGUGAAGGAGAGAAAGUGUGUGUGUUUAAGGAAGAGGGACCCUACAGUCUUGUAUAACCUAGUAUCAUGGAGUGGCAUCCAACUGUGUCUGUAUUCUAUUCCUUAGAAGCCAGUCACUAGGUGCAGCCCAUAUUCCAGGGGAAGAGGUGUCAAAAGAGUGUGAACAGGAGGAAGGGGGGGUCUUUGGGAGACAAUUUAGAUCCCCUCCUACAAUCUUACACUUAAUAUAUACCUGAAAACGUGAUUCAGACCCAUGAUCUCACAUAAUUCACACACAUCAUUAUCAACCAAGUACGGAAAAUGUGGAUUAGCAAGCUUAAGUAACUUGUAGAAGGUUACGCACCACCAGAACCAGGACUUGAUUCCAGAAUUAUUUUAAAUUCAUUGUCCUUGCAUUCCAAGAAUCAGGAGAGUAUAUUGGAUGGAUUUAAUGAAAAAGGUGAAUCAUGUUGUUUUCUACUUUAUUCUUAACUGAGAAACUACUCACAUUUCCUAUCUCCAUUGUCCUAGGCAUCUGCAGCACAGUGGUCCAGAGUUCUGGAAAAUAUGGUUCUGAAGUUCAGAAUUCUAGAUUUGUUCCCAUGCAGGGGAUCCAAGGAGGUUCUGUGCUGUUUCAUAUAGUCAAGAAGCAAGAAGCUGACCCAGAGGAGGUCUCAUGGGGCUUUGGCCCUGAGUUAAACUACAGAGUCCUGCUGCGAGUCCACCGUGGGGCAGACACCCCAACCUGGGUCAGCCUCCAGGACAAGUACCAGCAGAGGGUCCAAGUGCCCAAUGUGACAUCCUUGAAGAUUGAGAACCUGACCCCAGAGGACAGUGGGCAGUACCGGGCUCGAGCCAGCUUCACUGGAGGAAUGGAAUUGAACCAGGUUUUCCUCCUCACUGUCUAUGAGCCUGUGAUCCUUCCUGAGAUCCUGGUCAAGUCAUCAUCAAUCACACCAGGCUUGUGCAAUGUCACCCUGGAGUGCAGGGACCCAGGGAAGAGAAAGGACCUGAAGGUGACCUGGGAGAGCGAGGGCCUUCCCAGGGAGCUGGAGUGGAGUGGGACACCAGGACCAGCCCCCAGCUCCUGGAGCCUGACUGUGAACCUGUCCCUGAGCCAGCCCAAUGCCAACCUCACCUGUGUGGUCAGCAACCAUGCAGACAAGAAAACUGCCACUGUAGACUUUGCACAAGUCUGUUUCCCUGGUUCACAAGAGCAGACCAUUGCUGGUCUUCUUGAAGGCAUCCUAUGUGGCGUCGUGGCUGUGCUAUUCUUCCUGGGAGCUGGACUGUACUUUUGGAAGACAUAUAAGAAGGAAAGGAACACAGAGACUGGAAGAGGAGCAGCAUUGCAGGAGGACCACAGGAACCAAGAUGAUGGCGAUUGGGCAGAGCAGAGCCAGGAAGAGUAUCAACAAGGCAUGUACCAGAGUAUCAGUGCACAACGUAUGGAACAAGAGUUGCCUCUCAACACUGUCUACUUUGCACAACAUCUGGAACAAGAGUUGCCUCUCAACACUGUCUACUCUGCGAUCCAGAACAUACCUGUGAGGGUAUGA